CGGGGUGCAGCAGGCGCGAAACCUCUGCAAUAGGCGAAAGCCUGACAGGGUUACUUUGAGUGAUUUCCGUUAAGGAGAUCUUUUGGCACCUCUAAAAAUGGUGCAGAAUAAGGGGUGGGCAAGUCUGGUGUCAGCCGCCGCGGUAAUACCAGCACCCCGAGUGGUCGGGACGUUUAUUGGGCCUAAAGCAUCCGUAGCCGGUUCUACAAGUCUUCCGUUAAAUCCACCUGCUUAACAGAUGGGCUGCGGAAGAUACUAUAGAGCUAGGAGGCGGGAGAGGCAAGCGGUACUCGAUGGGUAGGGGUAAAAUCCGUUGAUCCAUUGAAGACCACCAGUGGCGAAGGCGGCUUGCCAGAACGCGCUCGACGGUGAGGGAUGAAAGCUGGGGGAGCAAACCGGAUUAGAUACCCGGGUAGUCCCAGCUGUAAACGAUGCAGACUCGGUGAUGAGUUGGCUUUAUGCCAACUCAGUGCCGCAGGGAAGCCGUUAAGUUUGCCGCCUGGGGAGUACGGUCGCAAGACUGAAACUUAAAGGAAUUGGCGGGG
rnacentral:rRNA from 1 species